rnacentral:rRNA from 1 species
UACGAAGGGGGCUAGCGUUGCUCGGAAUCACUGGGCGUAAAGCGCACGUAGGCGGACUCUUAAGUCGGUGGUGAAAUCCUGGAGCUCAACUCCAGAACUGCCUUCGAUACUGGGAGUCUUCGAGUCCGGGAGAGGUGAGUGGAACUGCGAGUGUAGAGGUGAAAUUCGUAGAUAUUCGCAAGAACACCAGUGGCGAAGGCGGCUCACUGGCCCGGUACUGACGCUGAGGUGCGAAAGCGUGGGGAGCAAGACGG